GCAUAUCAAUAAGCGGAGGAAAAGAAACCAACAGGGAUUGCCUUAGUAACGGCGAGUGAAGCGGCAACAGCUCAAAUUUGAAAUCUGGCUCUUUCAGAGUCCGAGUUGUAAUUUGCAGAGGGCGCUUUGGCUUUGGCAGCGGUCCAAGUUCCUUGGAACAGGACGUCACAGAGGGUGAGAAUCCCGUACGUGGUCGCUAGCUAUUGCCGUGUAAAGCCCCUUCGACGAGUCGAGUUGUUUGGGAAUGCAGCUCUAAAUGGGAGGUAAAUUUCUUCUAAAGCUAAAUAUUGGCCAGAGACCGAUAGCGCACAAGUAGAGUGAUCGAAAGAUGAAAAGCACUUUGGAAAGAGAGUCAAACAGCACGUGAAAUUGUUGAAAGGGAAGCGCUUGCAGCCAGACUUGCUUGCAGUUGCUCAUCCGGGCUUUUGCCCGGUGCACUCUUCUGCAGGCAGGCCAGCAUCAGUUUGGGCGGUGGGAUAAAGGUCUCUGACACGUUCCUUCCUUCGGGUUGGCCAUAUAGGGGAGACGUCAUACCACCAGCCUGGACUGAGGUCCGCGCAUCUGCUAGGAUGCUGGCGUAAUGGCUGUAAGCGGCCCGUCUUGAAACACGGACCAAGGAGUCUAACAUCUAUGCGAGUGUUUGGGUGUCAAGCCCGAGCGCGUAAUGAAAGUGAACGGAGGUGGGAACCCGCAAGGGCGCACCAUCGACCGAUCCUGAAGUUUACGGAAGGAUUUGAGUAAGAGCAUGGCUGUUGGGACCCGAAAGAUGGUGAACUAUGCUUGAAUAGGGUGAAGCCAGAGGAAACUCUGGUGGAGGCUCGCAGCGGUUCUGACGUGCAAAUCGAUCGUCAAAUUUGGGCAUAGGGGCGAAAGACUAAUCGAAC
rnacentral:rRNA from 1 species